UCAGGUAGCACCACAGAAGAGGAGGCAGAAACAGUAUAGGAGCUAGAGGGCAUGGAGGACACCAAGAGGGCAUGGGUUUCCAAACCAACACAAGCAAAGUUUAUAUGAACUUUCAGAGACUGAAGCAGCAUUCAUAGCACCUGCAGGAGUCUGCACCAGGGAGAUCCAAAUGUCCUGUUUUGAGCAUUCCUCGUUCCAUAGCCUCUCUGGAACUGUGGAUCCUGACAUCGUUAUCUUUGAUGGACAGCUAAUAUACAUUUAUAAGUGAAACAUUUCUUCUUACAAGGAAGAAUGAAGUCUCCAAGACAAAGGAAGCUCACCAACGUUAAGAGCGUCUAGAGACAAUUUCUCCAGGAAAGAACUAUGUGGAUUUCUUGAGUCGUCAUCUAUGCUAGGAAGGGUUUACUGGGCUCCAGCUUUGACUUGUCCUUUUUAUUGGAAGUAACUCCUCACUUCUGCACCUAUAAGUAAUCCUAAUAGAUGCAUUUGUUCUUGUAAGACUUAUAUAGGAACACUUCUGUGGUGUAUCGUUGGUGCCUUAUCUGGUGUUAAUGGCUUUGUUCUCUCCAAGUGAAAGGUCAUACAUUAGGUCUCUUAAAAAAAAAAAAAGAACAUAGUUUGUUUCUAUAAUGCAAGUUUAUUCCCAUUGACUGUUAUAUUGAUCAACCACAGAAGAACAGAGGUGGACUCAUGACUUAAAAUGAGAGCUAGAAAGAGGAAAUAUAACGAUGCAUUCCCUACUGAGAGGAAAAUAAGCUUGAUAAAUCUACACAAUCAAAUUAUCCUGAAUCCAUCAAACAGCAAAGCUUUGCAUAAACAUAAUUUUCAGACAAGAUAAUCUCACAUUUGCUAUUCACAGAGGUGACAACAAGUGAAGUGGAAAAAUCUGAAUUUUUUUAAAAGACACUCUUGGAUGCUAACUUCAUAUGUCGUGUCAGAUUACAUUAGGAAAGCAUCUACUUAUAGUAGGACCUUGAACUCACCUGGGAAAUUCUCAAAAGACAUUUGGACACUUACAGGAUAAUGACAAUAUUCAAAAAUUGAAUUCCUCUUGAAAAAGAGGUAAUCAAAUUUUAGUAAGCAAAGAUGGGUUUUAUUGUGAAUUUUUUUUAUAAAUACACCAUCAUAUUUUUUUAAAUCAUCCUCUUAUUUUCCUCCAUCAUCUUUCCUUUUCCCCAGUUGCUGUCUCUUCGCUCACUCCAAACAGCUUCCAAUUCUGUGUAAAGACACAUUUUCUUUACUUUUUACGUGCACUUUUACAUCUCUUCCUCCCUUUUCAUAAUCCCUUUGUAGAUUCAUCAUACACACACACACACA